AUGAUGUGGAUUAAUCGAUGCAACGCGAAAAACCUUACCUACCCUUGACAUGUCUGGAGCCUUGGUGAGAGCCGAGGUGCCUUCGGGAGCCAGAACACAGGUGCUGCAUGGCUGUCGUCAGCUCGUGUCGUGAGAUGUUGGGUUAAGUCCCGCAACGAGCGCAACCCUUGUCACUAGUUGCCAUCAUUUGGUUGGGCACUCUAGUGAGACUGCCGGUGACAAACCGGAGGAAGUGGGGAUGACGUCAAGUCCUCAUGGCCCUUAUGGGUAGGGCUUCACACGUCAUACAAUGGUCGGUACAGAGGGUUGCCAAGCCGCGAGGCGGAGCCAAUCCCACAAAGCCGAUCGUAGUCCGGAUUGUUCUCUGCAACUCGAGAGCAUGAAGUCGGAAUCGCUAGUAAUCGCAGGUCAGCAUACUGCGGUGAAUACGUUCCCGGGUCUU
rnacentral:rRNA from 1 species